AAAAAACAGAGUUGUGUGUAUUAAAUUGAGAGAGCUAAAUCCAUGGUGAGCAUAAUGACUCCACUAAAAAACAGAAAAUCAUUGCAAGAAUUUCUCAUACUAAUAUUAUAUAUCACAAGGUUAAAUUCUACAACUAGGAACUUUAUAAAAAAUGCUUACGACGAUGUAAUUAAAAAAGGACUUGAUGAAUACAACAUUGGGACAACUUGACGAAUACGAUAACAUUGUUUAAAUCAACAACAUAGGCGGUCAAAUUUCAUGGAGCUCUUCCCUUUUGUUUUUCGUUUUCUUCUACAUGAGGUUUACCCUUGCGGAUGGUAACUUUGAAUGAUAUUUUCACGUCCUCUUCUUCAAUUAUGUGAACCAAAUCCUUGAAUGCAAGGGACAAAUCCUUGUAUGCCCUGUCAAAAGCAAAUGACAAAGAGGAUUAAACUUAAUAUAUAUAAAAUUGUUUCUAGGGAUCUUUUGGGUAACCGGCUCCAAUUUAAGCUCAUUAGUUCCACCAUGAACUUAUGAUUAAAAUUGAAUUUUUCAGUGCUUCUCUUUUAGUUUAAC
rnacentral:lncRNA from 1 species